GGUUCGCAAUUAUGGUCAAAUAUGGCGUCGUGCUCCUUUUGGGUGUUGUAUCGUUGAUGGCUGGGUCGACCGCUGGUGUAGUGAAGUCUCCUUGGUAAGGCGGAAACCAAAACGCAACGCCGCCGCCGCCUUCCUACACAACUUAGACAACGACCAGUUCCUGCACCGAGGUCUUCAAGUACUACACCACUAAAGCACCGGAGUUUUAUACCACAACUUACUCUGCCCCGAGCCACUACACUGACUCCCUGAAGUAUUACUCUGCCUCGAGUUACUACACCACCAAGACGACGGAGCAGGACUACGCAUGCUGCCCCAUUUUACUACAUCAAGGUUCCCAGCUGCUACACCAAGGCUCCCGCAGAUUACUCCACCAAAACGGUCGAAUACUACACCGAAGCGGCAAAGUACUUCUCUGCCCUGAUCUUCACAACCACAACUGAGGCGGCCAAGAAUGACGCAGUUCCGACUUGCUACACCGAAGCUGCUCUUUCGUGCUACGUUGAACUGAAAUACUACACUGACGCUGCUGCCUACUUCACCACGACCCACGCUACACCUAGCUACAACACGGCAGCCCCCAAGUACUACACCGAAGAAGCCGCCUUUUACACAACCACGUAAGCUGCCUAGUUUACUACAUCGAGGAAUUUAAGUAUUACCCUGCUCCAAACUACUACCAAACUGAGGUUCAUAUUUAUUGCAAUUCUCCCGAUUAUGCCACCACUACUUACGCUACUCCGACCUAUACACCGAAGUUCUGAAGUAUUUCUCUGGAUGUGUUGAAAGAUUACUGAAA